rnacentral:lncRNA from 1 species
CCGAAACAUCCACCUCACUCUCUUUUCUUCACCAUUUUCCCAUCUCCAUUCUUGACUUUCUUCUACGAAUCCACAAAACAUUGAUAAAACCAAGGGAAAAAAACUUAAAUAAGAACAAAACACACCUAUCUGAUUUUUUUAAAAUAUUUUUUUCCCCUUCUUGUUUACUGCUUAAUUCCAUAAGAGCAAAGAAGCAGAAAAAGGCUAAGAAAUUGUAAGUAACGCAACCCCAGAAAUUUUAUUCAUUUUUACACCCAAAUCUCUUUUUUUUUUCCUAGAAAUAUUGAAAAGUUUGAAUCUUUUUAGUUAAAACUGCAGGUAAGAGAUGAAUUUUGUGUCAGUAUUGGAGGUCCAGAAGGUCAAAUCGAUGCUUUGACGAAUACCCAUUUGUUUAUUUCACAGUGUAAAUGCAACUUUGUAGAUCAGUAGCCUCCUGGAUUUCACGUUUCUUCGCUUGCAUGGGGUCAGUCAUUUGAUUUUAAUUUCGUUUUCAUAUAAAACAUUCUGCUAUCCCUUUUCUAUUUUCCCCUUUUAGGGUUGGUGGUGUUGUAUUUCACACACACACUCAUAUACACUCCCCUCAAGGGUUGGUUGAGUGGUUGAGGAUAAGAUAAAAACCUGGAGAUCUCAGUCCCGAUUUGUGCUUGUGGCCUGUAGCUGGUUGCCUGGUAUAUUAGUUAAGGUAUAAGCACUGACUUUACCUUUUUAUGUACUAAAACAUCCCCCCAUAUAUAUAUAUAUAUAUAUAUAUAUGAAUUAUAUCAUUAAGUGAUUAAGGUUAAAAUGGGAAGUUCAUAGUUAAACUAUUUCUGAAUAUAGAAAUCUGUCAUUGGUUUGGAGGGGCUCUGAUGGUAAGCAAUCCCCACCUCCAACCGAGAUGUUGUGAGUUCGAGCCUCCCAAGGGAAGUUCUUGGAGGGAUGGAUGCUGGGGUCUAUUUGGAAACAGCCUCUCUACCAAGGGUAGGGGUAAUGUCUGCAUACACACUAUCCUUCCCAGACCCCACUAAGUGGGAUUAUACUGGGUUGUUGUUGUUGUUGGUUUGGAAAAGAAUUAGUAUCGGAUAAAUUGGGAGAGAGGGAAUGAUACGCUGUAAAUAGAUGACACAACGAAUGAAAGGUUAGAAAGUUUGAUAAUAAUGUUUUUUAGAAUGCUUUUCUUGGUUUAGUGGGCAAUAAUUGGCUUUUAUUUGGUGGUUUGGAAUCUGAGGUACUUGCUUACAGGCUAAGCAAGCAAUAAUAGUGAAUAGAAAGGAAGAUGAGCUGGUGCUUCUUUUUCUGUUUCUUUUUGGUUUUUUUCUUCCCAUGCUUUUGCUUGUUAUGUUGAGGGAGUUUGUUGCUAGAAUGUUAUAUUCUAUACGUAAUUGUCUUGCUAGCUACAGUAUCAAAUGCUUUGCUUCUAGCCAUGUAUAAUAUAUGUUGCUUAAAAAUCGAAAUUGAGGCAUGUUUUAGACGUAUGCCUUUGUGUUCUGUUUUGGGUUUUUUUUGGAGAAUAUCUUCGAGCCGUCAUUGGUGCAAUGAUGGAAAAGUUGAAGGAGACAUGGAGGGUGUUAGGAUUUAUGCCCGUCACUAGAGGGGGAGUGAAUAGUGCGGCACGAGAAUAUUGAUAA